rnacentral:rRNA from 1 species
AGGUGGAAAGUGGCGAACGGGUGAGUAACACGUUGGUGACCUGCCUCGAGGCGGGGGAUAACCGUGGGAAACCACGGCUAAUACCCCAAAUGUCAAGAAGUUUAGACGCUCUUGACUAAAGCUCCGGCGCCUCGAGAGGGGCCUGCGGGCUAUCAGCUUGUUGGUGGGGUAAUGGCCUACCAAGGCUAAGACGGCUAGGGGGCGUGAGAGCGCGACCCCCCACAAUGGGACUGAGACACGGCCCAUACUCCUACGGGAGGCAGCAGUGAGGAAUAUUGCGCAAUGGGGGCAACCCUGACGCAGCAACGCCGCGUGGACGAUGAAGGCCUUCGGGUUGUAAAGUCCUUUUCUGAGGGAAGAUAGUGACGGUACCUCAGGAAUAAGUCCCGGCUAACUACGUGCCAGCAGCCGCGGUAAAACGUAGGGGGCGAGCGUUAUCCGGAUUUACUGGGCGUAAAGCGCGCGUAGGCGGCGCUGUAAGUUGGACGUGAAAGCUCUCGGCUCAACUGAGAGAGGUCGUUCAAUACUGCGGUGCUUGAGGUUGACAGAGGAGAGUGGAAUUCCCGGUGUAGUGGUGGAAUGCGUAGAUAUCGGGAGGAUCACCCAGUGGCGAAAGGCGGCUCUCUGGGUCAUACCUGACGUUGAGGUGCGAAAAGCGUGGGGAGCGAACGGGAUUAGAUACCCCGGUAGUCACGCUGUAAACGAUGGAUACUAGGUGUAGGAGGUUACUUACCCCCUUCUGUGCCGGAGUUAACGCGUUAAGUAUCCCGCCUGGGGGACUACGGCCGCAAGGUUAAAACUCAAAGGAAUUGACGGGGGC